UCCGGUUGAUCCUGCCGGAGGUUACUGCUAUCGAGGUUCGACUAAGCCAUGCGAGUCGAAUGUAGCAAUACAUGGCGAACUGCUCAGUAACACGUGGNCAACCUGCCCUUAGGACGGGGAUAAACCCGGGAAACUGGGUAUAAUACCCGAUAGGUCUCGAUUGCUGGAAUGCAUCGAGAUNUAAAGCUCCGGCGCCUAAGGAUGGGUCUGCGGCCUAUCAGGUAGUAGUGGGUGUAGCGUACCUACUAGCCUACGACGGGUACGGGUUGUGAGAGCAAGAGCCCGGAGAUGGAUUCUGAGACACGAAUCCAGGCCCUACGGGGUGCAGCAGGCGCGAAAACUUUACAAUGCUGGCAACAGCGAUAAGGGAACCUCGAGUGCCAGGUUACAAAUCUGGCUGUCGAGAUGCCUAAAAAGCAUUUCAUAGCAAGGGCCGGGCAAGACCGGUGCCAGCCGCCGCGGUAACACCGGCGGCUCGAGUGGUAACCGUUAUUAUUGGGUCUAAAGGGUCUGUAGCCGGCCGGAUAAGUCUCUUGAGAAAUCUGGCAGCUUAACUGUCAGGCUUUCAGGAGAUACUGUCUGGCUCGAGGCCGGGAGAGGUGAGAGGUACUUCAGGGGUAGGGGUGAAAUCUUGUAAUCCUUGAAGGACCACCAGUGGCGAAGGCGUCUCACCAGAACGGACCUGACGGCAAGGGACGAAAGCUAGGGGCACGAACCGGAUUAGAUACCCGGGUAGUCCUAGCCGUAAACGAUACUCGCUAGGUGUCGGCCACGGUGCGACCGUUGUCGGUGCCGUAGGGAAGCCGUGAAGCGAGCCACCUGGGAAGUACGGCCGCAAGGCUGAAACUUAAAGGAAUUGGCGGGGGAGCACCACAACGGGUGGAGCUUGCGGUUUAAUUGGAUUCAACGCCGGA
rnacentral:rRNA from 1 species